GAAGCGAAGCCGCGAGGUAGAGCAAAUCUCAAAAAGACAUCUCAGUUCAGAUUGCAGGCUGCAACUCGCCUGCAUGAAGUCGGAAUUGCUAGUAAUCGUAGGUCAGCAUACUACGGUGAAUACGGUUCCCGGGCCUUGUACACACCGCCCGUCAAACCAUGAGAGUUGGCAACACCCGAAGUCGGUAGUCUAACCGCAAGGAGGACGCCGCCGAAGGUGGGGUUGAUGAUUAGGGUUAAGUCGUAACAAGGUACC
rnacentral:rRNA from 1 species